UACGGCUCAGUAACACGUGGAUAACCUACCCAAGAGUCCGGGAUAACCCCGGGAAACUGGGGAUAAUACCGGAUAGGUCAGACUUGCUGGAAGGCUGUUUGGCUGAAACUUCCGGGGCUUUUGGAUGGGUCUGCGGCUGAUUGGGUUGUUGCCGGUGUAACGUACCGUCAAGCCUGUAAUCAGUACGGGUUGUGGGAGCAAGAGCCCGGAGAUGGAUUCUGAGACACGAAUCCAGGCCCUACGGGGCGCAGCAGGCGCGAAAACUCUACAAUGCAGGCAACUGCGAUAGGGGAACAUCGAGUGAUCCUCAUAUUGGGGGUCUGUCCACCCGCCUAAAAAGCGGGUGUUAGCAAGGGCCGGGCAAGACCGGUGCCAGCCGCCGCGGUAAUACCGGCGGCUCGAGUGGUGGCCGAUAUUAUUGAGUCUAAAGGGUCCGUAGCCGGCUUUGCAAGUCUCUCGGGAAAUCCAGCGGCUUAACCGUUGGUCGUCCGGGGGGUACUACAUUGCUUGGGACUGGGAGAGGUAGGAGGUACUCAGGGGGUAGGAGUGAAAUCCUGUAAUCCUUUGGGGACCACCGGUGGCGAAGGCGUCCUACCAGAACAGGUCCGACGGUGAGGGACGAAAGCUAGGGGCACGAACCGGAUUAGAUACCCGGGUAGUCCUAGCCGUAAACGAUGCUCGCUAGGUGUCACAACAGUCGUGAACUGUUGUGGUGCCGUAGGGAAGCCGUGAAGCGAGCCACUUGGGAAGUACGACCGCAAGGUUGAAACUUAAAGGAAUUGGCGGGGGAGCACCACAACGGGUGGAGCCUGCGGUUUAAUUGGACUCAACGCCGGGAAGCUUACCGGGAUCGACAGUUGUAUGAAGGCCAGGCUGAGACCUUGCCGGACUAUCUGAGAGGAGUGCAUGGCCGCCGUCAGUCGUACGUGAGGCGUCCUGUAAGUCAGCACGAGCGAGACCAUGUCACUGUGCUACACGUCCCGCAGGGAUGGUGAGUACACAGUGA
rnacentral:rRNA from 1 species